rnacentral:misc_RNA from 1 species
GUGAAUCAUCAAAUUUUUGAACGCAAAUUGCACUCUCUGGUAUUCCGUAGAGCAUGCCUGUUUGAGGGUCAGUUUAAAUAAAAAUCGGUGUGGUUGCUGCCUUUCGUGGUGACGCACCGGGUUUGGGUCGUCUUGCCUUCGGUUAAGUGACCUAACAUCUUGCACGAUUUUUUUAGAAAGGAUUACACUGAUUUUACGUACGUUUGCGAUAA